rnacentral:rRNA from 1 species
CGGUAAUUCCAGCUCCAAUAGCGUACAUUAAAGUUGUUGCUGUUAAAAAGCUCGUAGUUGAACUUCUGACAGCGAGCAGGUUUGGCUUUGGCCAGCCUGUUCGUUGUCAUCCGUCUGCAAACCUUGUACGUCCUUCAGUGGUUCGGCAAGGGGAGUAGACAAUUUACUUUGAAAAAAUUAGAGUGUUCAAAGCAGGUAUUAGCCUGAAUACUUUAGCAUGGAAUAAUGGAAUACGACUCUUGUCUAUUUAUGUUGGUUAUUAGACUUGAGUAAUGAUUAAUAGGGACAGUUGAAGGCAUUAGUACUUAAUUGUCAGAGGUGAAAUUCAUGGAUUUAUUAAAGACUAACUAAUGCGAAAGCAUUUGCCAAGGAUGUUUUCAUUAAUCAAGAACGAAAGUUCGAGGAUAGACAGCGAUCAGACACCACUUUAUUUCGAACUAUAAACUAUACCGAUUUGAGAUAGCCAAUUUUAAUCGAAUAAUUGGCUGCAUCACAUGAGAAAUCCAAAUCUUUGGGUUCUGGGGGGAGUAUGGUCGCAAGAUUG